rnacentral:rRNA from 1 species
UACGGAGGGGGCGAGCGUUAUUCGGAAUUAUUGGGCGUAAAGGGCGCGUAGGCGGCUGUACAAGUCAAAGGUGAAAUCCCUCGGCUCAACUGAGGAACUGCCUUUGAAACUGUACGGCUUGAGGCCGGGAGGGGGUAGCGGAAUUCCCAAUGUAGCGGUGAAAUACGUAGAGAUUGGGAAGAACACCAGUGGCGAAGGCGGCUAUCUGGACGGUUUCUGACGCUAAGACGCGAAAGCGUGGGGAGCAAACAGG